rnacentral:rRNA from 1 species
UACAGAGGUCCCAAGCGUUGUUCGGAUUCAUUGGGCGUAAAGGGUGCGUAGGCGGCGCGGUAAGUCGGGUGUGAAAUCUCGGAGCUUAACUCCGAAACUGCAUUCGAUACUGCGGUGCUUGAGGACUGGAGAGGAGACUGGAAUUCAUGGUGUAGCAGUGAAAUGCGUAGAGAUCAUGAGGAAGACCAGUGGCGAAGGCGGGUCUCUGGACAGUUCCUGACGCUGAGGCACGAAGGCCAGGGGAGCAAACGGG